rfam:Salmo salar isolate Sally breed double haploid chromosome ssa12, whole genome shotgun sequence.
CUGGUCUGAGGUAGUUGUUUGUACAGUUUGAGGGUCCGUGAUUCUGCCCGAUAAAGGAGCUAACUGUACAAGCCACUGCCUUGCCUAG